GUUGUUUCUUUGACUGGAAGGAACCCCUCUGUUACAGACUCUGAGAGACUUGCAUCCCACGUGGCUGCCAGCCGAUGGACACCCAGUGUACAGGAUGUUCACUCAGGUCUCUCGCUGACCUUGAAGCUCAUCAAUCCGGCUAUACCGACUGCCCGAUGAACUCCAGCAAUUCUCCUGUGUCCACCUCCCCAGUGCUAGGGGGCUCAUUGUUACAGCAGCUGGCCGUUAGUGGGAACUUGGGAUCUGAACCCAGGUCUUCAUUCUCGCAUGGCUGGAACUUCAUUCCUUCAACAAUGGACAGUGACCUGGAACUGCCAAACUGCAGCCAUGCAGCAGCUUUUCCUGUUGGCUUUUAGUCAGAGAGAGUCCGGGAUGAAAACCAAAGCAGUGGUCUCCAGAGCCAGGUGGGCAAGGAGGAGGAGAGGCCAGGAGGACCUGGCCUCACUGCUGAAGUCCUGAAGGGCCUUGUGUGGGAGGGGC